ACUCCUACGGGAGGCAGCAGUGGGGAAUAUUGCACAAUGGGCGCAAGCCUGAUGCAGCAACGCCGCGUGAGCGAUGAAGGCCUUCGGGUCGUAAAGCUCUGUCCUCAAGGAAGAAUAAAUGACGGUACUUGAGGAGGAAGCCCCGGCUAACUACGUGCCAGCAGCCGCGGUAAUACGUAGGGGCAAGCGUUAUCCGGAAUCACUGGGCGUAAAGGGUGCGUAGGCGGUUUUCAAGUCAGAAGUGAAAGGCUAUGGCUCAACCAUAGUAAGCUUUUGAAACUGUUAAACUUGAGUGCAGGAGAGGAAAGUGGAAUUCCUAGUGUAGAGGUGAAAUUCGUAGAUAUUAGGAGGAACACCAGUGGCGAAGGCGACUUUCUGGACUGUAACUGACGCUGAGGCACGAAAGCGUGGGAGCGAACAGGAUUAGAUACCCUGGUAGCACAGAG
rnacentral:rRNA from 1 species